rnacentral:rRNA from 1 species
CCCUUAGAUGUUCUGGGCCGCACGCGCGCUACACUGACGAAGUCAGCGAGCAUGUCCUACGCCGACAGGUGCGGGGAAUCUUGUCAAACUUCGUCGUGAUGGGGAUUGAUUAUUGAAAUUCUUGAUCAUCAACGAGGAAUUCCUAGUAGACGUAGUUCAUCAGACUGCAUCGAUUACGUCCCUGCCCUUUGUACACACCGCCCGUCGCUCCUACCGAUUGAAUGCUCAGGUGAGCCAUUCGGACUUUCAUCAUGCUGGUUUCCAGUUUUGAUGAAGGAAAGUCUUGCGAACCUUAUCAUUUAGAGGAAGGAGAAGUCGUAACA